CAAGAGGGGAUAGAGACAAGUGAUUAAAGCAAGGGUGUCCAGUCUUAUCCAGAAAGGGCUGGUGUGUGGCAGGUUUCAUUCCAAUCAAGUAGAAGCUACGAUAAGUCUAUUGAAAGCCAGGAUUAACUGAUUAAACAGUCUCUCUGGAAAAGGUGUCCUAUGUAAAAGGUUUCACCUCCGUUUUGCCUUCAAUGGAUGCAGGAGUGGUAGUUUGGAAGUUCCCACAGGGCCAGCAGGGGCUUCCAGUACCUGGUUGACCAGAAUGAUCAGACCAUAAGAAGACCAUGAAUGAGUCCAGAUUUAUUCGGAUCUUAGAUAUGCUGGAAUCUGCAUUGAGCAAGAAUACAACUCUCAGCCUACAAACAUGGCCUCCCAAGACCACAGCUUACUGCCGUCACAAACACUGGACGCUCAGGUUUACUGAUUGCACCUGAUUACUGAUUGCAUGCACCUGGACUCAACAACCCCCUUCACACUAUAUAAGCACUCACAACACAGGUACUGUAUAUGUGAACUAUAUGUUGUUUGUUGAUCACUUGAUCUAUGCCUGAGUCUUUUUCUUGUUUGUAUUGUGUGGAGUAAUAAAAACCUGUCAAACCUACAAUUGCAGGCUCUCCUGUGUUUCUGACACUCAGAUUCAACACUUUGAAAUUAGAUUUUUGACUUUGAGCAAAGUCAUAUACAGUAUUAUAAUAACUGUAGGAUAAAUAUUCAGAUAGUCAGAAUUUCAUUUGCUGAUUCUAAUUCAUUAUUGUUUGCUUGCUUUGUUUGAUAAAAAGAAGUAAUGUUCUGCCGUGUAUUUAA